GUCGUCGUCGUCGUCGUCGUCGUUGUUGCCGUACACGUCGUCGACGAUUCGUUGGGCGAGUUUGCACCUGGAAUGUCUGUCAACGCGAAAACGAUAAUGAAAUUUCUUGUAAAGGGACAAACAGGACGAUUUAUUACGAAAUCUUAUGAAGUGAAACAUAAACCUACGUGCGUAAAAACAUACAAAUAAAUAAAUAAAUAAAUACACACACACACACACACACACACACUGAUUAGAAUCAACUUAGUAUCAUUAGCUUUUUGUAUUGUUUUGGAACGGGAUAAAUAAGGUUAGAAUUUUUUUUGUAUUCGUUGUGAAAUUCAGAGAAUUUAUAUUAUGUUAAAAUUUUGUAUGUUCUUUCGAUAAGAAAUAAAAGCAAGGGCAUGGUUUAAUGUACGACGUGUAUAACGACGACGACAUCCAUUCGUUCGAAAGUUUUCGUAAAGGAAACACGCUGAUACACGGAGUUUGACAAAAGCGAUUCAAGAGGAGAAUAAAAUUCAUAUUCGAUGUGUUUCGCGAGGAUGCAAUUAACCUUGAAGGAAAAAUUCAGCUCGUAUCACGGUAGAAACUUCCGGCUACUCGAGUAGAUAUGUACGUAUGUACAUAGGAUAGAGAGAUAGGCUGAAAAGGAAGAGUCGUGGGGGGCCCUACCUCGAGUAUUGAUCUGCACGGAGAGUUGUGUGCGGCCACCGUUGCUACCGCUGCACCGCCAUAACCGAGUAUAAUACUAGCAGCAGACACAUAUAUAACAUAUUUGGUACUACUGCUUCGCUGUGCUAACCACCAAGGCGGUAUUUUCAAAUCAUCAGUAGUGUGCAUAGUUCUAUCCGAGUGAUUUUGGUGUGAUCGACGAGUGUAUUGACGAGAAAGUGUCGGACAAAGUAAGAUAAUAUCAACACGGUAACAAUAAUAAACUAAUUUUAAUCUUA